UGUGGUUUAAUUCGACGCAACGCGAAGAACCUUACCUAGGCUUGACAUGCUGGUGAAAACCAUGGAAACAUGGUCCUCCCGUAAGGGACAUCAGCACAGGUGCUGCAUGGCUGUCGUCAGCUCGUGUCGUGAGAUGUUGGGUUAAGUCCCGCAACGAGCGCAACCCUUGCCAUUAGUUGCUACGAAAGGGCACUCUAAUGGGACUGCCGGUGACAAACCGGAGGAAGGUGGGGAUGACGUCAAGUCCUCAUGGCCCUUAUAGGUGGGGCUACACACGUCAUACAAUGGCCGGUACAAAGGGUAGCCAACCCGCGAGGGGGAGCCAAUCCCAUAAAGCCGGUCGUAGUCCGGAUCGCAGUCUGCAACUCGACUGCGUGAAGUCGGAAUCGCUAGUAAUCGUGGAUCAGCAUGUCACGGUGAAUACGUUCCCGGGUCUU
rnacentral:rRNA from 1 species